CACGUAGGGCGCAAGCGUUGUCCGGAAUUAUUGGGCGUAAAGAGCUCGUAGGUGGUCUGUUGCGUCCGCUGUGAAAACUCGGGGCUUAACCCCGAGCCUGCAGUGGAUACGGGCAGACUAGAGGUAGGUAGGGGAGAAUGGAAUUCCUGGUGUAGCGGUGAAAUGCGCAGAUAUCAGGAGGAACACCGGUGGCGAAGGCGGGUCUCUGGGCCGAUACUGACACUGAGGAGCGAAAGCGUGGGGAGCGAACAGG
rnacentral:rRNA from 1 species